UUUCGUUACGUCACUCUCCGCUCGAUCGCCGAAGGCAGAUGCUACCUGUUAGUGACGACUUGCACGGAGAAACUAUUGAUGAAAGCUAAGAGAAUUAUUAUGAUCUCGACAACUUUGUAUUCUACAUAUACAAAAGAAAUGAUAUUAUCGACCAAGAUUGAUCUAAUCUUAAAGAAUUAAAUUAAGAAUUCUCCUUUAUCCUCGAUCAAAGUUAAUCAACAUCUUUAAAAGUGUGUACUUUCGUGUUUAUGACAAACAGACAUUAUUGCCUCGAUUGACAAAUCAUCGAUAAAUUACGAAGGCAACAGGUGGUAAAAGUCACUUUCUAUUAAAUCACUCGAUUACUCGGUACCAGAUUACAACUUUUCUGGCAGAAAAAAUUUUUCUUCGAUGGAAAAAUUACCAGACAGAUAAUAUCGCAGUUAAGACAAGGUAAUAUUAAAACUAAUCAAAAUUCAAGAUAUUUAAGAUACGAAUCUGCGAUCAAUUAGUCGAUGCGAUUGAAAUCUCUGAUGAAAUAUGCUCCAAACGUCACAAGAAUCGUGGAGUUCAUCGCGACCGGUCGUCCCAUGCCCUUUGCCAACUCGAGAUCGAGCCUCCACUCUUCGAAAAGUCGCAUUCAGGGAGUGUUGUGUCGCAUUCCAUCGUUAGAUCGAUUUCUUUCAGUUUUGAACAUUUUUUUUUCGUUCCACAGAAGAAUCAACAAGUUUGAAAUUAUGAAGGAUAAAGGGAAAUAGCGAGUGGAAAGCACGAGGAAGCUGAAAAUCGAGGUCGUACCUCGACAAUCGAAAUUUCGCAAUUAUUCUCGUGUUCUGUGUUAAGAAACGAGAUUUCCGGCAACGUUUGGGAACACUGCGAACGAUAAAAUUAUAUAAUGCUCUUGUGUUAAAUAUAUAUAUAUAUAUUAUUUUCGUGACAUUUCAAAGUAUUUUUCAAUUAUUAUUUGCUGUUUCACUUUUAUGAAUAUAAUUCGAUUAUGUGCAAUUCUUGGCAAAUAUAUAUGCCUUAUUUUCCAGAAUUAAUUUAAAAUUAUAGUUUAAAUCUGGAGCAUUUAUCUUCCGUCCCUAUAAAUAGGAAUAAAAUAGGUAUCGUCACGGAUAAGGAUUAUUUUAUUUUCCAUCAAUGACCAUCCGCGUUUCUAUUACGCGUGAUGAACUCGCGACGAGGAAUCUUCUCAGCCUUGGAGGGCGAAAGUUGUUGUGGAUAGCACGAUAUUUGCACCUACAAGCUAAGGAACGUGUCCAUAGUAGGAGGUUGAUUGAGGUUUUCUGUAAUUUUAUUUGAUUGCCCGAUUGCAUCGUGCAUCCAAUAAUUCUGUGAUCGGAUAAUGGUAAAAACCUGAUACGUCACUUUUUCGUAAAAAUUGAAUUAUAAAUUUACAAUUUUACAAAUUUAAACAAAUCAAAUUCGGGAUCAUUUCCGUUUUCGAUGCAAAUAUCCACGAGUGUGAACGGUAUGUCGUGACAUUCUUUAGCAAGCAUUGAACCGAUGGAGAAAGCGGGGUCAUAGAUGCAUAGGCAGAUCAUUUUUUUCAAGAUGAGAUAACUCUCAGGGACAGUUACAAAUGUGAUAAUUCCGUGAUCAAUUAUCCAAAAAUAAGUAUCUAAGAAUGCUUCUUUUGAUGCAAUCUAUCGCGAUUUCAAGUGAAGAGAAAAGUUAAAAUUUUCAAAUUAUUUAGAUUUUAUCAAAAUAAAGAACAUUUAACAAAUGGAAAUUUGACAUAUAGAGACUUUAUGCAAGAUUUAUUAUUUUUCCAAUUGUCCUCAGAAGUGAAAACAAAUUUUUUACAGCGGAGCUAAAGUGAAGGAACGAAAUUGUAAUUUUAUAUCACAAAUCUUACAAUUUUAUAGAAAUUAUUGAAUUUCGAUUGUACUAUCUAUCAUUUCAUGUCAGAGUUCGAAAUCUUGAAACAUUGGAUAAAAUGGAAGUAUCGA